GGUAGAUUUUCUUUAUUUUCUAAAUCUUUUCCUUUUUUACUCGUUAUUAUAUUCUAUUUAUUCUCGUCCUUUGUACCUAUUGUAUGAAUCAUUAGAAAAGUAAUAAAACUAAAAAACAUUGUGGUUUUUCUCUCGAUUCUUGAUUUUUCAUGUAAGCCUUAGGUUUCGUGUUUCGUACUUACAAUAUGGUAUCAGAGCAAAGCAACAACGAAACCCUAGAAAAAAAUUUAGGAAGAACCUAGACCCAACCAGCCACCGCUGUCUUUGGACUAGAUAGCUCGAAGUUACUAGAACCAUUUUCGGAGGAGACACUUUUGGGAUUUUUGCAUGAGAGCACAACACUUGUGGGGAAGACGAAGAUUAUGUAAGAUAAGAAAGAGGGAUAUUAUUCAUAAAAGAAGCGGAUAAGUCGAUAAGCCGACCUUGCUACUUUUACCUAAAUUACGGAGAAAGUAGUGAAAUACAAGAGGUGGCCGUCCGGAGAAAGACAAGAGCAAGAAAGGCGCAAAGAAUAUUGCGAGUAUAAUGGGGAAAGAAUUUGAAAACAGAAACAACAUAAGGAAGUACGGGAAGAGCUACAAAAUAAGGAUAAAGGAAGUACAAGAAUAGCAUCAACAUAAGGAAGUACAAGAAGAAAAAGGGGUGAAGCCCUACAGUACAGGUAUAGGUAAGUCCAGAAAGAACAAGUAAAUCAGGCGCAAAGAAUAUUGCGUCAAGUGUGAGGGGCAAAGAAUGAUCGAAGAAGUAAGCAAAUAUGAAGGUCGAAGCCACCUAAUGGUUAUGGUUCCUAAUAUAAUGGUUAUAGAACAUCGCAUUCGAUUGCGAAGGCAAAAGCCGAAACUCGGCUGACUCCUAGCAAGACCGAAGCUCCCGUAGAGGAGCUGAGGAAGUAUACCUCAACCUCAUGACGCGGAUAAGAGGGGGAGUACAGAAAGGGAAAAAGGAACCUAAGAGCUAACCUUUCUGCUCCCUCUCUCCCUAGUUGUCGGUAGCAGCUACCGGCUUCCGGGUUUUCAGGAUGUGGUAUAUGGCUCAGCUCCUUGAAGGGAGCUUCGGUCUUGCGUCUUUAUACAAAUUUUAGAUAGAGUUUUCUCUUCUUUAUGUGGCUAAAACCCAAAAAGUGUUUCGCCUACUUUUUCAAGAUUGAACUCCGUAUUUUGUAUUCUAUAUAUAUUCUCUACACUUCGUUUCAUUCUUAUAUAUGUUGUCUGUGUUCCUAAUCAACUAAAUUUACUACUUUAAUUUUAUAUAUGACUAAUUAUGUUUUAUCAUAUAUUGUGAAUAUGAUCAAUAGAACUCCAGUAUACUAUACCUAGAUUUACCUGUUGGCACCGGUUUUUCGUAUGCUAAAACUACAGAAAAUCAUAAAUCAGAAGAUCACGAACAAGUUCAACAUUCCCUUCAAUUUUUGAAAAAGUGGUUCGAUGAUCAUCCAGAAUUUAUAUCAAAUCCAUUUUAUAUUGCUGGAAAUUCUUAUUCUGGUAUGAUUGUUCCAAUGGUUGUUCUAGCAAUUUUAGAAGGUGUACUUAUGUAGUUAAACAAGGAUGUAUUUUAUGGUCCAAAUGUCCAUCUUUAGAAGAACCAAAAACAAUAUCUGAUCGAAGAUCUCUCAACAGUAUAUUUGUUGGUCGAAGAUGUCCUGUAAUUUCUCUUCUCCUUAUUAUAAAAUAUGCUAAAUUUUACCCCGUUUAUAUUACUUUAUGAAAUAAUUAAACAAAUUAGUUCCCAAUUAUUUCACUCAUAUAAUGAUUAAGCUGA